UAUAAAAAAUGCUUGAUGUUACAUGUAUAUUGAAUUAAAACACGUCAUUCCCAGUCAACAACUUUCGAUCGGGAUCGGAAUACGAAAUAAAAUUUCUUAUAUUCGGUUGCAAAGUGAAACUGCUUCAUGCUUCAAGUUAUUGAAUUAUGUAGCAAUUGCACGUUACACAUUAGAGAACUGUUCCUUUUGAUAAAGAAAGUCACAAAAUAGAUACAAAAUGAGUGUACCUUAUUCAUUACUGUUACCGAGCUUUCGUCGGUGAAAAUCUCGAAAUGGCGUGUUUCGCUGCGCUUCGUCCACAUUUUCUAUGUGGUGACUGAAGUCUGGUCAGUCGGCAGGCAGCAGUACUCAAUUUACCGCAUUCCUACAAUCCAACUGAAAUUACGGGUAUUCAGAAUCGGCCUUCGAACAGUUGAUGUGACAGGUGUCAAUGGGUUUUUUUCCAGAAGCCCGCCCUGGUAGAUGGAAUCUGCCGCUUGACCAGCAGCACUGUCCAGAGACAGUGGUUGAUGCUGGAUAUAUGACUUUUCCUCAGCCCAUCAUUACCUGCUGGAGUGCUGGUAGAGGCUGAAUGCUUUAAUAAAUAUAACUGUGAUCUUGCUGAGAUGUAGUAAUCCAUGGGAAUUUUCCAAAGAAGAUUCAAGAGAACCAUAAAGUCUUUCACCUCGUGACCUUGACAUUAGAGUUUCAUCUACUGACCGGUUUAGCUUUCUGGACCUUAAAAGAUGUUGACACCCUGCUGAUGGAGCAGAUCCUAUUUCUUAGAAGCAGAAAGCAGUUCUCUUACCAUCAGAUCUGAUCCAUUUUUGGAGAUAGCCUUUUGUAUGGAGCUGGGUAACGGUUACUGGAGACAUGCUGUUGAUUGAUGAGGAUAAUUUUCCCGAGACUCUGACAUAUUGCAGGACCUGGAUAGCUCUACUGGUGUUCAAAAUGCCAGGACUGUGGAGUGUUGUGAUGUUAUUGAUGGUCAACAGAAGACUGUGACCUUGAAUCUGAAGAUCUGUGAUGAAGACUGGACGUUUGGGGUCACUCUCUGUUACAGUACUACAAAUCUAACAGUGUAACGCUCAGACACAAAGAGGUUGUCUCUGAUGUCCACACAUAAACCUAAUGGAGACUCUAAAUCACAGUGAAUGUAACGGAGGAACUGUCCGUCCUGAUCUAGGAUGUGGAUACGGUGAUUGUCACGGUCUGUUGUCAGGAUGUGACUCUGGCUGUCUGUAGUGAUGCCGCGUGGUUUAAAUGAUUGCUUGGUAUUAGAGGGAUGACCAGUGUAUCUAAAUCGGAGUUUUCCUGACUGAUUGACCACCACUACUGCACUAGCUACACAGUCAGCCACACAGAUAUCCAGGUUCUUGUUCUCACUGAGGUAUUUACUGUAACCAGAUGUGUAGAGAGGACGACCCUGAUCAUCAAACUGAAUGCUUUGUUUCUCUGUGGAGCCGGAGUAACGCACGACUUUGGAUUGUUUGACAUCAUCACUGUCCAUGGUAACCAGGAGAUCAUCAGAGGCGGUACAGCAGACAGAGAGAGGGUACCACCCCUGUAGUGUGAUCACGAUUGAGUUGUGUGGAACAAUGAACCUCCGGAUAUAUAUGUACAUUUACACGUGUAGGAUUAAACUUCUGUGGUACUCGCGUAUGUGAGUUUA